UCUCUCUCUCUCUCUCCUGCGUGUCCCUGUCUCUCACUUUGUGUGUUAGUCAGUUUUUCAUGACUGUGACAAAAUACCGGAGGAAAACAUCUGAAGGAGGAAAUGUUGGUUUGAGCUCCCAGUUCCAGAGGUUUCCAUCCAUGGUCAACGGGCGCCAUUGCUGCUUUUAGGCCUAUGGAGAGAGAGAAGGGACAUGUUCUGACCUUGCUCCACAUGCCGAACCCCCCGUGCUUGGAGACUGUCAGAAAGACAUUCGCAGGAACCCUGUGGCCGGGAUGGAGCGUGUGCCCACUUUACAGACCCUGAGCAAGUCCUGCAGCCCCUCAUACCCGAGGUCUCUUCAUGUGGAAGAUGGAAAUGAAGGUGCCCACUUCUCAGUUUUUCUAGUUGGCCCUUUAGUCACAGGAGCGAGAAAAGCUGGCUAAAAUAACAUGGGUACCCUGAGUCACUGCGGUCUCCACCACCGACAGCCAGUGUGACCUGGUCCUCUCUGAAUCUCAGCUCCGAGUGAAUAGAAGCUGAGCCCCAGCUUCGUCUGGAUGGGGGCCUGCCGAGUGUCCAAGCAGUUCCAAGAACAGCAGAACACUAAAUAUGAACCCGUGGCUGCAUUAGGAUAAUGAUCAUCAUUAUUACCCCUAAAAGCGGGAUAAUCGCUGUGACCCACUUCGGGGGACCUGUUGUAACUAAUGCCCUUGGAGAGCUGUGCCAAUAGCAAGUGCAGGGUAGGCAGAGGCCAUGGGCUCUGGCUGAAGUGAUCCCUGCCUCUGCGAGUGUCACCCACUUGUCCUUCACUUUGGUCACAAGCCUAGGGAGCAUUUUUUUGGAAAUGCUCAACCUUGGCUCAUGUGGGCCUCUGCUCUGAGCUUGCCAGGGGGUCAGUAGCAGAAACUGCUCGCCCUGCUUGAAGGAAACAGGGGAAGCUAUUAGGAUACGUGGGACUUCGUGGUUCUGAAUAUAAGGGCGAGAAGGAGGCCAGACUUCUGAAAUGGAAACACUUUUCUCCCCCCUGAUGCUGGGGAUGGAGCUCAGGAUUUGGUGCAUGCUUGGCAAGCCACAGACCCAGCCCAUCAGCAGCAAAAUUUACCUUCCCAUUUGUUUCCCUUCUUUACAAAGAAAUGCACUCCAGCGGUGGCCCCUGUGCACCCCUCCAGCCCCACCCGCGUCCCUCUGGACCACUCCUGAUUCUGGCACUGGCCAGUCCUGCGGACACGUCCACACUUGACCACUUCACACGCCACGACCCCGCGUGUCGCCCUGAGGACGAUCUCCCACGUGCUGCCCAGCACGGUCUAACCUUGCUCUACCCCGUGUUCCUCUGGGGACCUCUUUGUGUGGAUCAAGGCACCGGGGCCUGUUCACUGCCGUCCGUCCGGGAUUCAGGGAAAUUCCUGCUCCACCGUGUAUCCAGGCUCCCGCUGAUGGGCACCAGCAGGCCCUGAAGGUUUCUCUGUGUCAUGGUUAGGGUCUUCAGUGAUCCCAAAGGCACGUGUGCCAAAUGCUUGGUCAUUGGGCCAUUGGUCAGUGUAGAACUGUCAGGAGGAGAAGCCUAGUGGAAAGACAGGCUACUGGGGUGCGUCCCUUGAGGGGCUCCUGGACCCUGCCCCUUCUUGGUGAUCGCUCAGCUUCCCGACUGCCCUGAGAGGAGAAACCUGCCCCCCACUGAGUUGUUGCCCCAAAGCAGCAGACAACCAACCACACCUGAAACCCUCUCCUCCUCUCCAGCUGUUAUCUCAAGUACUCUUCCCAGCGACAGAGGCCUGACGAACCCACCCACUGCCGGACCUGUGUUGGUUUUAGCUCCCCCCAAAGUAGAGCUGAGACCAGGGCUUGGGGUAUUUUGGGGGUGCUCUCUGUCAGCAGGAGGAGGACAUACUGCUCUGUGCUACAUCACCCCAUGACCUGGCAGAUCAGAGAAAAGGCUGCCUCACAUCACUCCUUGAAGUUGCCUGGAGUCAGGAAUCCAGGGUGGGCUGCUUGGUGGGGAGCAGUGUCAUCUGAAGACUCGCCCGGGGGCAGGGGUUGGCAGGAGGCCUCAGAUCCUCUCCACAGAGAUGCUUGAUGGCCUCCAAGCCCAGCCGCUGGCUUCCCCCAGGGCGAGAGAUCCACCAGAUGGAGGAAGAAUUGGUUUCAGGAAUCUCCAACUGUCACCUCCGCCUCAUUCCCCUGGAUGAACAGACGGGCCUGGAUGCAGCAUUGGGGGGGGGUUCCACAGGAAGUGAGGCCCCCCUGGAGUCGUCUUGGAAGCUGGCCACUGUGGCUAGAGAAGAGCCAGGAAGCACCUGAGGGGACCUCAUGGAGUUGGUCACUGUUCUAGGUACCUGCAGCUCAACCCCACCAAGGGUGCUGUGAAGAACUACCAAGAAUACGUGGGACAGAGUUCAGGGGCUCUUUACAGACUAUCAUUCUCAGGAGCUGAGAUAACCUCCUCUACAAAUCCUGAGAGAAGUGGAGGGACCCUGCAAGGCCAAGUCGGGACACUCUCAGUGUGCAGAGUAGCCCCAAAUCAAGGCCAGGCUGAGGAGGUGUGCACAAAAGACCUCUGUCUCACAACAUGGCUGCGAGAAACAUUCCCUUGCAGGCAUCUGUCCGUGAGUCAACAUGGUUACGCGCCGUGGACAGCUGCUAAAAUGGCUCCUGGUAUUCACAUUCUCUGCUCAAUCGCUCACCUGGUAGGUAGACCAGGUCUAGUGACUCUUCUAGAGAAUAGAAGUGGUGGGAGGUCUCUCCUGAGACUAGGCUAGGAAAGACGGUGAUCUCUUGGGAGAGACCCCCCAAGCCAGAGCCCCCAGUAAGUGGGACCUGGACUCCUGAUCCACAGAUUCUGUUGUUUUGCUAAACUGCUCCAUUUAAGAGUAAUUUUAUAAACACUCAAUAGCCCAAGAAGUGGGUGAAGGUACACAUGGAGCAACAUCGAUCAUGGGUCAGCAACUGUUGCGACAGGGUGACGGGUUAUACUGUGUUGCCAAUUGUGUGUGUUCAAAAUUUCUCCACCACAAAUAAAAAUGCAUGUUUA